UACGUAGGGUCCGAGCGUUGUCCGGAAUUACUGGGCGUAAAGAGCUCGUAGGCGGCUCGUUGCGUCGGCUGUGAAAACCCGCAGCUCAACUGUGGGCUUGCAGCCGAUACGGGCGGGCUGGAGUUCGGUAGGGGAGACUGGAAUUCCUGGUGUAGCGGUGAAAUGCGCAGAUAUCAGGAAGAACACCCGUGGCGAAGGCGGCUCUCUGGUACGUGACUGACGCUGAGACGCGAAAGCGUGGGGAGCAAACAGG
rnacentral:rRNA from 1 species